UCUGCGUGAGGCCUAAAAUUUAAUGCUUAUAGCAUUGCCAGGUGGUUCUGGUCACACAACCUCUGGGUUUUGAAUUUUAAUCAACUCCAGGUUUGCACAAAUUUUGAUUUAUGUGCCUGAAACAUGCACAUAAAACAAAGAUGGUUUUCAGCAAGCGUGUUUUGUCUGAUUCCAUUUUCCGUAGCAGUGCAAUGAAGAAACGCCUCUCGGACAGGAAAGACAGUGGUCGACACAUGAGAAGUCCCUCUUUUAAGAUAGCGGGAUUAGAUAUCUGGGACACAUCCACUGGAGCAGCUCAAAAGAGGAAAGUUGAGACUUGGACCUGACACAGUUGAGACAUGGUGGAGGAGAAACCACUGAACAUCAGAACAACCCUGAGCACUAAGGAGUGACUAGACACAAGCUUGAAAGAAGAAGCUAAUGUGUGGUCUCUGAUUACUGCUAUAUAAGGAUCCCCUCUAUCAAUUCUUCCCAAGUUUGGCAAAGGUUAAGCCACAGGGACAUUUGAUUAUACUGUAUUUGGCGUUUUAAUGUACAACUAUGUUUGAUUGCACAAUUAAAUAACCUGAUGGCUCAAAGUUAAGUAGAGGAUCAAUGGUGCCGGUAUUAAAGUGCA